UACGUAGGCAGCAAGCGUUGUUCGGAAUUACUGGGCGUAAAGGGUGCGUAGGCGGCUUUUUAAGUUUGGUGUGAAAUCUCCCGGCUCAACCGGGAGGGUGCGCCGAAGACUGGGGAGCUAGAGUAUGGGAUGGGAGAGUGGAAUUCCUGGUGUAGCGGUGAAAUGCGUAGAUAUCAGGAGGAACACCUGCGGUGUAGACGGCUUUCUGGACCAUUGCUGACGCUGAGACACGAAAGCGUGGGUAGCAAACAGG
rnacentral:rRNA from 1 species